CACGUAGGGCGCAAGCGUUUGUCCGGAAUUAUUGGGCGUAAAGAGCUUGUAGGCGGUCUGUCGCGUCUGCUGUGAAAAUCCGGGGCUCAACCCCGGACUUGCAGUGGGUACGGGCAGACUAGAGUGUGGUAGGGGAGACUGGAAUUCCUGGUGUAGCGGUGAAAUGCGCAGAUAUCAGGAGGAACACCGAUGGCGAAGGCAGGUCUCUGGGCCAUACUGACGCUGAGAAGCGAAAGCAUGGGGAGCGAACAGG
rnacentral:rRNA from 1 species